AGGUGGCGAACGAAAAGGGCUAAAUGUCGGUCAAGAUUAAAAAUUCAUUUUCAAGCCGAACUUUUCGAGUAAAAAUGGACAUUAUUAGGAUAGGUAGGACGACGCUGUUACUCUCGCUUAUUUCCAACCCAGCAAAGUAUUUAUUCGCCACUUUCAGAGUAGCAACAACUCGCUAGCUUUGGCUAUAAUACCCAACCCAGCUAGCUUAAAAAGGAUGGAAUUUUCUUUCAAUCAAUGAGCGUCUUUGACUGAGACAGAUGCAGAUGACAGCUGCUGUUGUUGCUGUUUCAGUCCAUCCAUUCAUUUUCUUCACCGCUUGUCCUCUCAGGUCGUGGGGGGGCUCGAGCAUAUCUGUAUUUCUGUACAGCUUCCAAUCUUGGAUGUCUGUGUUCAUUACACCGGACGAAAUCCAUAAAGAAUGCAAAGCAGGAAGUUCAACAUUGGUGGUGAGUUUUGCAUCUCAGUCUUCAAUGUCC